AGUGAACGCUGGCGGUAGGCCUAACACAUGCAAGUCGAACGGCAGCACAGGAGAGCUUGCUCUCUGGGUGGCGAGUGGCGGACGGGUGAGGAAUACAUCGGAAUCUACUCUGUCGUGGGGGAUAACGUAGGGAAACUUACGCUAAUACCGCAUACGACCUACGGGUGAAAGCAGGGGACCUUCGGGCCUUGCGCGAUUGAAUGAGCCGAUGCCGGAUUAGCUAGUUGGCGGGGUAAAGGCCCACCAAGGCGACGAUCCGUAGCUGGUCUGAGAGGAUGAUCAGCCACACUGGAACUGAGACACGGUCCAGACUCCUACGGGAGGCAGCAGUCGGGAAUAUUGGACAAUGGGCGCAAGCCUGAUCCAGCCAUACCGCGUGGGUGAAGAAGGCCUUCGGGUUGUAAAGCCCUUUUGUUGGGAAAGAAAUCCAGCUGGCUAAUACCCGGUUGGGAUGACGGUACCCAAAGAAUAAGCACCGGCUAACUUCGUGCCAGCAGCCGCAGUAA
rnacentral:rRNA from 1 species